GACGAACGCUGGCGGCGUGCUUAACACAUGCAAGUCGAGCGGAAAGGCCACUUCGGUGGUACUCGAGCGGCGAACGGGUGAGUAACACGUGAGUAAUCUGCCCCUGGCUUUGGGAUAGCCACCGGAAACGGUGAUUAAUACCGGAUAUGACCACUUGUCGCAUGAUGGGUGGUGGAAAGUUUUUUCGGCCAGGGAUGUGCUCGCGGCCUAUCAGCUUGAUGGUGAGGUAAUGGCUCACCAUGGCUUCGACGGGUAGCCGGCCAGAGAGGGUGACCGGUCACACUGGGACUGAGACACGGCCCAGGCUCCUACGGGAGGCAGCAGUGGGGAAUAUUGGACAAUGGGCGGAAGCCUGAUCCAGCAACGCCGCGUGAGGGAUGACGGCCUUCGGGUUGUAAACCUCUUUCAGCAGGGACGAAGCGCAAGUGACGGUACCUGCAGAAGAAGCACCGGCCAACUACGUGCCAGCCGCCGCAGUAACAC
rnacentral:rRNA from 1 species